GUGAAUCAUCAAAUUUUUGAACGCAAAUUGCACUCUCUUCGGAGAGGAUGCCUGUUUGAGGGUCAGUAUUAUUAAAAAUAGGUGUGUUGCUUCUCUGUGACGCUCUGGAGUUUGGGUCAUCUUAAUAUCGUGUAGGUCUUAAGAGGCUUACAAUUGCCUUUUUUUGCGCAUUUUAGUAGUUCAUAAAUUCUUGUUUUUAUUCGUCUGUUUUUAUGCU
rnacentral:misc_RNA from 1 species